rnacentral:rRNA from 1 species
ACUCCUACGGGAGGGCAGCAGUGGGGGAAUAUUGGGCAAUGGGGCGGAAAGCCUGACCCAGCGACGCCGGCGUGGGGGGAAGAAGUCUUUCGGGAUGUAAACCCUUGUUGUACGGGACGAAGGAAGUGACGGUACCGUACGAGGAAGCCCCGGCAAACUACGUGCCAGCAGCCGCGGUAAUACGUAGGGGGCGAGCGUUGUCCGGAAUCACUGGGCGUAAAGCGCACGUAGGCGGGCUGUCAAGUCGGCCGUGAAAGGCACGGGCUCAACCUGUGCAUGUCGGUCGAUACUGGCGGUCUGGAGUAUGGGAGAGGGAAACUGGUAUUCCCGGUGUAGCGGUGAAAAUGCGUAGAUAUCGGGAGGAACACCAGUGGCGUAAGGCGGGUUCCUGGCCCAUGACUGACGCUGAGGUGCGAAAGCCGGGGGAGCGGACGGGAUUAGAUACCCCGGUAGUCCCGGCUGUAAACGAUGGAUGCUAGGUGUGGGGGG